UGAUGUGGAUUAAUUCGAUGCAACGCGAAGAACCUUACCUACCCUUGACAUGUCCGGAACUUGCCAGAGAUGGCUUGGUGCCCGAAAGGGAACCGGAACACAGGUGCUGCAUGGCUGUCGUCAGCUCGUGUCGUGAGAUGUUGGGUUAAGUCCCGCAACGAGCGCAACCCUUGUCCUUAGUUGCUACGCAAGAGCACUCUAAGGAGACUGCCGGUGACAAACCGGAGGAAGGUGGGGAUGACGUCAAGUCCUCAUGGCCCUUAUGGGUAGGGCUUCACACGUCAUACAAUGGUCGGUACAGAGGGUUGCCAAGCCGCGAGGUGGAGCCAAUCCCACAAAGCCGAUCGUAGUCCGGAUUGUUCUCUGCAACUCGAGAGCAUGAAGUCGGAAUCGCUAGUAAUCGCAGGUCAGCAUACUGCGGUGAAUACGUUCCCGGGUCUU
rnacentral:rRNA from 1 species